rnacentral:tRNA from 1 species
UUCCCUGUGGCUCAGAGGUUAAAGAGCGUCUGCCUCCAAUGCGGGACGACCAUGGGUUCGAUCCUGGUUGGGAAG